ACCGCUGAGCUAAAUCCCCAGCCCCAUAUAUUCAUUUUUAUAAAAAUAAUAUGUAGGGCUGGGGAUUUAGCUCAGUGGC
rnacentral:pre_miRNA from 1 species